rnacentral:rRNA from 1 species
UACGUAGGUGGCAAGCGUUUGUCCGGAUUUACUGGGCGUAAAGGAUGUGUAGGCGGAUACUUAAGUGAGAUGUGAAAGCCCCGGGCUUAACCUGGGGACUGCAUUUCAACUGGGUAUCUAGAGUGCAGGAGAGGAAAGGCGGAAUUCCUAGUGUAGCGGUGAAAUGCGUAGAGAUUAGGAAGAACAUCAGUGGCGAAGGCGGCUUUCUGGACUGUAACUGACGCUGAGGCAUGAAAGCGUGGGGAGCAAACAGG